rnacentral:lncRNA from 1 species
UGAUGUCUAGAUAUAUGAUGUCUAGAAAUGUGAUUUUGUAUGUUUAGUUAAACAUGAGAAAGUGAGAUAUUAUAUAUACUUUAUAUUUGGUUAAGUAUCUAUUUUUUUAGAAAAGUUGUGUGAAAUUUUUAUUAUACCUUUUAUAAAGAAAAAGAUCUUACCACAUUCUAUCUAAAAGUAUAAUGACACAUUUGAAAAAAAAAAUAUCUCAAUUUUCUGCGAGUGGGAAUUGAACUUUUCUAUGUCCUACAAUUUCAUUUUUUAUGAAAUAUAAAAAUUCUAUUUUCAUAGAAAAUCUACUUUUCUAUCUCUCUUCUUUGAAAGCUCCAAUCAAAUACAAGAUAUUUCUUCAUUUUUUCAUUGACCACAUUUUUUCUUUUUCUUUUUCUGCGAAUCAAACGAGUCCAAAAUGAUUCUACUUACUACCUUUUUGCGAGCAUCGAAGU